GAAGCGGCAACAGCUCAGAUUUGAAAUCUGGCCCCUUCGGGGUCCGAGUUGUAAUCUGUAGAGAGUGUUUCGGGCGAGGCCACGGUCUAAGUUUGUUGGAACACGGCGUCGCAGAGGGUGAGAAUCCCGUAUGUGACCGUGGCUCGAGCCCAUGUGAAGCCUCUUCGACGAGUCGAGUUGUUUGGGAAUGCAGCUCAAAAUGGGUGGUAAAUUUCAUCUAAAGCUAAAUACGGGCUGGAGACCGAUAGCGCACAAGUAGAGUGAUCGAAAGAUGAAAAGCACUUUGGAAAGAGAGUGAAACAGUACGUGAAAUUGUUGAAAGGGAAGCGCUGGCAACCAGACCUGUCCGCGGGCGAUCAGCCGCUGUUCUCAGCGGUGCACUCGCCCCGCGAUCAGGCCAGCAUCGGUUUCGGCGGUCGGAUAAAGGCCCGGGGAACGUAGCUCCCUCUCGGGGGAGUGUUAAAGCCCCGGGCGCAAUGCGGCCAGCCGGGACCGAGGACCGCGCUUCGGCUAGGAUGCUGGCGUAAUGGUUGUCAGCGACCCGUCUUGAAACACGGACCAAGGAGUCUAACAUCUAUGCGAGUGUUUGGGUGUCAAACCCAUGCGCGUAAUGAAAGUGAACGGAGGUGAGAACCCGUUUCGGGCGCAUCAUCGACCGAUCCAGAUGUCUUCGGAUGGAUUUGAGUAUGAGCAUAGCUGUUGGGACCCGAAAGAUGGUGAACUAUGCCUGAAUAGGGUGAAGCCAGAGGAAACUCUGGUGGAGGCUCGCAAGCGGUUCUGACGUGCAAAUCCGAUCGUCAAAAUUGGGGUAUAGGGGUACCGUAUUUCGGUCGGAGGUCACCUUGGGAAAUCAACGCUUAAUUAGUGAUUAUAGGCCGAAAGACUUAUUCCGACCCAUCUUAUUAGCUGGGUUCCCUGCCCGAAGUUUUCCCCUCAGG
rnacentral:rRNA from 1 species